rnacentral:tRNA from 1 species
GCCAGCAUAGUGUAGUGGUUUGAAUGUUGGACUACAAUUCUGAAGACCAGGGCUCAAAUCCCUGUUUGGCC